CCCGCGUCCCUCUCGGGGCGCGGGUCCGUAUCCCCGGUACCUGAUACGGCCGGGACUG
rnacentral:ncRNA from 1 species